rnacentral:lncRNA from 1 species
AUGCUGUCUCAAACCCACCUCAACAACACUGUCUCAAACCCACCUCAACAACGCUGUCUCAAACCCACCUCAACAACGCUGUCUCAAACCCACCUCAACAUCACUGUCUCAAACCCACCUCAACAACACUGUCUCAAACCCACCCAAACAACGCUGUCUCAAACCCACCUCAACAUCACUGUCUCAAACCUACCUCAACAACACUGUCUCAAACCCACCUCAACAGCACUGUCUCAAACCCACCACAACAUCACUGUCUCAAACCAACCUCAACAACACUGUCUCAAACCCUCCUCAACAUCACUGUCUCAAACCCACCUCAACAACACUGUCUCAAACCCACCACAACAUUACUGUCUCAAACCCACCUCAACAACACUGUCUCAAACCCACCUCAACAACACUGUCUCAAACCCACCUCAACAUCACUGUCUCAAACCCACCUCAACAACACUGUCUCAAACCCACCUCAACAACGCUGUCUCAAACCCACCUCAACAACACUGUCUCAAACCCACCUCAACAACACAGUCUCAAACCCACCUCAACAACACUGUCUCAAACCCACCUCAACAACGCUGUCUCAAACCCACCUCAACAACACUGCCUCAAACCCACCUCAACAACAUUGUCUCAAACCCACCUCAACAACGCUGUCUCAAACCCACCUCAACAACACUGUCUCAAACCCACCUCAACAACACUGUCUCAAACCCACCUCAACAACACUGUCUCAAACCCACCUCAACAACACUGUCUCAAACCCACCUCAACAACACUGUCUCAAACCCACCUCAACAUCACUGUCUCAAACCCACCUCAACAACACUGUCUCAAACCCACCCAAACAACGCUGUCUCAAACCCACCUCAACAUCACUGUCUCAAACCCACCUCAACAACACUGUCUCAAACCCACCCAAACAACGCUGUCUCAAACCUACCUCAACAACACUGUCUCAAACCCACCUCAACAGCACUGUCUCAAACCCACCACAACAUCACUGUCUCAAACCAACCUCAACAACACUGUCUCAAACCCUCCUCAACAUCACUGUCUCAAACCCACCUCAACAACACUGUCUCAAACCCACCACAACAUUACUGUCUCAAACCCACCUCAACAACACUGUCUCAAACCCACCUCAACAACACUGUCUCAAACCCACCUCAACAUCACUGUCUCAAACCCACCUCAACAACACUGUCUCAAACCCACCUCAACAACGCUGUCUCAAACCCACCUCAACAACACUGUCUCAAACCCACCUCAACAACACUGUCUCAAACCCACCACAACAUUACUGUCUCAAACCCACCUCAACAACACUGUCUCAAACCCACCUCAACAACACUGUCUCAAACCCACCUCAACAACACUGUCUCAAACCCACCUCAACAACACUGUCUCAAACCCACCUCAACAUCACUGUCUCAAACCCACCUCAACAACACUGUCUCAAACCCACCCAAACAACGCUGUCUCAAACCCACCUCAACAUCACUGUCUCAAACCCACCUCAACAACACUGUCUCAAACCCACCCAAACAACGCUGUCUCAAACCUACCUCAACAACACUGUCUCAAACCCACCUCAACAGCACUGUCUCAAACCCACCACAACAUCACUGUCUCAAACCAACCUCAACAACACUGUCUCAAACCCUCCUCAACAUCACUGUCUCAAACCCACCUCAACAACACUGUCUCAAACCCACCACAACAUUACUGUCUCAAACCCACCUCAACAACACUGUCUCAAACCCACCUCAACAACACUGUCUCAAACCCACCUCAACAUCGCUGUCUCAAACCCACCUCAACAACACUGUCUCAAACCCACCUCAACAACGCUGUCUCAAACCCACCUCAACAACACUGUCUCAAACCCACCUCAACAACGCUGUCUCAAACCCACCUCAACAACACUGUCUCAAACCCACCUCAACAACACUGUCUCAAACCCACCUCAACAACGCUGUCUCAAACCCACCUCAACAACACUGCCUCAAACCCACCUCAACAACAUUGUCUCAAACCCACCUCAACAACGCUGUCUCAAACCCACCUCAACAAUGCUGUCUCAAACCCACCUCAACAACGCUGUCUCAAACCCACCUCAACAACACUGUCUCAAACCCACCUCAACAACACUGCCUCAAACCCACCUCAACAACAUUGUCUCAAACCCACCUCAACAACGCUGUCUCAAACCCACCUCAACAACACUGUCUCAAACCCACCUCAACAACACUGUCUCAAACCCACCUCAACAUCACUGUCUCAAACCCACCUCAACAACACUGUCUCAAACCCACCUCAACAACACUGUCUCAAACCCACCUCAACAUCACUGUCUCAAACCCACCUCAACAACACUGUCUCAAACCCACCUCAACAACACUGUCUCAAACCCACCUGAACAACACUGUCUCAAACCCACCUCAACAUCACUGUCUCAAACCCACCUCAACAUCACUGUCUCAAACCCACCUCAACAUCACUGUCUCAAACCCACCUCAACAACACUGUCUCAAACCCACCUCAACAUCACUGUCUCAAACCCACCUCAACAACACUGUCUCAAACCCACCUCAACAUCACUGUCUCAAACCCACCUCAACAUCACUGUCUCAAACCCACCUCAACAACACUGUCUCAAACCCACCUCAACAACACUGUCUCAAACCCACCUGA